GUGAACGCUGGCGGUAGGCCUAACCCCUGCAAGUCGAACGGCAGCACAGUAAGCGCUUGCUCUUACGGGUGGCGAGUGGCGGACGGGUGAGGAAUACAUCGGAAUCUACUUUUUCGUGGGGGAUAACGUAGGGAAACUUACGCUAAUACCGCAUACGACCUACGGGUGAAAGCAGGGGAUCUUCGGACCUUGCGCGAUUGAAUGAGCCGAUGUCGGAUUAGCUAGUUGGCGGGGUAAAGGCCCACCAAGGCGACGAUCCGUAGCUGGUCUGAGAGGAUGAUCAGCCACACUGGAACUGAGACACGGUCCAGACUCCUACGGGAGGCAGCAGUGGGGAAUAUUGGACAAUGGGCGCAAGCCUGAUCCAGCCAUACCGCGUGGGUGAAGAAGGCCUUCGGGUUGUAAAGCCCUUUUGUUGGGAAAGAAAAGCAGCAGGUUAAUACCCCGCUGUUCUGACGGUACCCAAAGAAUAAGCACCGGCUAACUUCGUG
rnacentral:rRNA from 1 species